AGAAAGAUUCGUUGAAAAUAAUGGACGUGGAUAAAUCGGAGGGCAAAAAUGAAUUUCACAUCUAAUGAGAAACUAUUAUCGAUAAUAAUUAAAAACCCAUCAAUAAUGACGAUCGAUAAACGAGAAUAACAAUAAUAAUUGACCACCCCUGUUGAUUGACAACUUAAUUUACAGCGUCAUUAACUCGGUUGUCAAUAACCUGGGGUAUGCGAGACUCGUUUCAUUUAAUUUAUUUUUCUUUCGCAGGCAUUCCCCUCAUAACGUCGUGUCGGAAACGUGUGGCACUGAAGUGUGGUCUAGGUUGCAGCAACAUUAUAUCGCUGCCGAUAGAAAGCUGUACGAUAAUCGGCCUAUGCAUACAAUGCCCGCUACACCUACUGGACUGAUGAAUUUCGAUUGAAAUAAUUUUUCACAAACCAGAGAAUAUCGAACGUGAUUCGGUGUGACGUUUGCGUUCGCUCCCAGCUUUCGUUUUUCCAUCAUUUUAUCUAUUCUCUUUCUUUCUUCUAUCAGACAGCGUUAGAAAAAUGUAAG
rnacentral:misc_RNA from 1 species